rnacentral:rRNA from 1 species
GACGAACGCUGGCGGCGUGCCUAAUACAUGCAAGUCGAGCGCAGGAAACUGACGGAACUCUUCGGAGGGAAGGCAGUGGAAUGAGCGGCGGACGGGUGAGUAACACGUAAGGAACCUGCCUCAAGGAUUGGGAUAACUCCGAGAAAUCGGAGCUAAUACCGGAUAGUUCAACGGACCGCAUGGUCCGCUGAUGAAAGGCGCUCCGGCGUCACCUUGAGAUGGCCUUGCGGUGCAUUAGCUAGUUGGUGGGGUAACGGCCCACCAAGGCGACGAUGCAUAGCCGACCUGAGAGGGUGAUCGGCCACACUGGGACUGAGACACGGCCCAGACUCCUACGGGAGGCAGCAGUAGGGAAUCUUCCACAAUGGACGAAAGUCUGAUGGAGCAACGCCGCGUGAGUGAUGAAGGUUUUCGGAUCGUAAAACUCUGUUGUAAGGGAAGAACACGUACGAGAGGAAAUGCUCGUACCUUGACGGUACCUUACGAGAAAGCCACGGCUAACUACGUGCCAGCCGCCGCCGUAA